rnacentral:rRNA from 1 species
GGUUAAGCGACUAAGCGUACACGGUGGAUGCCCUGGCAGUCAGAGGCGAUGAAGGACGUGCUAAUCUGCGAAAAGCGUCGGUAAGGUGAUAUGAACCGUUACAGCCGGCGAUGUCCGAAUGGGGAAACCCAGUGUGAUUCGUCACACUAUCGUUAACUGAAUACAUAGGUUAACGAGGCGAACCGGGGGAACUGAAACAUCUAAGUACCCCGAGGAAAAGAAAUCAACCGAGAUUCCCCCAGUAGCGGCGAGCGAACGGGGAGCAGCCCAGAGUCUGAAUCAGCUUGUGUGUUAGUGGAACGGUCUGGAAAGUCCGACGGUACAGGGUGAUAGUCCCGUACACCAAAAUGCACAGGUUGUGAACUCGAAGAGUAGGGCGGGACACGUGGUAUCCUGUCUGAAUAUGGGGGGACCAUCCUCCAAGGCUAAAUACUCCUGACUGACCGAUAGUGAACCAGUACCGUGAGGGAAAGGCGAAAAGAACCCCGGCGAGGGGAGUGAAAAAGAACCUGAAACCGUGUACGUACAAGCAGUGGGAGCACCUUCGGGUGUGACUGCGUACCUUUUGUAUAAUGGGUCAGCGACUUAUAUUCUGUAGCAAGGUUAACCGUAUAGGGGAGCCGCAGGGAAACCGAGUCUUAACUGGGCGUUAAGUUGCAGGGUAUAGACCCGAAACCCGGUGAUCUAGCCAUGGGCAGGUUGAAGGUUGGGUAACACUAACUGGAGGACCGAACCGACUAAUGUUGAAAAAUUAGCGGAUGACUUGUGGCUGGGGGUGAAAGGCCAAUCAAACCGGGAGAUAGCUGGUUCUCCCCGAAAGCU